AUUGAACGCUGGCGGCAGGCCUAACACAUGCAAGUCGAGCGGCAGCGGAAAGUAGCUUGCUACUUUGCCGGCGAGCGGCGGACGGGUGAGUAAUGUCUGGGAAACUGCCUGAUGGAGGGUGAUAACUACUGGAAACGGUAGCUAAUACCGCAUAACGUCGCAAGACCAAAGAGGGGGACCUUCGGGCCUCUUGCCAUCAGAUGUGCCCAGAUGGGAUUAGCUAGUAGGUGGGGUAACGGCUCACCUAGGCGAAGAUCCCUAGCUGGUCUGAGAGGAUGACCAGCCACACUGGAACUGGGACACGGUCCAGACGCCUACGGGAGGCAGCAGUGGGGAAUAUUGCACAAUGGGCGCAAGCCUGAUGCAGCCAUGCCGCGUGUAUGAAGAAGGCCUUCGGGUUGUAAAGUACUUUCAGCGGGGAGGAAGGUGUUGUGGUUAAUAACCACAGCAAUUGACGUUACCCGCAGAAGAAGCACCGGCUAACUCCGUGCCAGCAGCCGCAGUAA
rnacentral:rRNA from 1 species